rnacentral:rRNA from 1 species
GAUGAACGCUGGCGGCGUGCCUAAUACAUGCAAGUCGAGCGAACAGAUAAGGAGCUUGCUCCUUUGACGUUAGCGGCGGACGGGUGAGUAACACGUGGAUAACCUACCUAUAAGACUGGGUUAACUUCGGGAAACCGGAGCUAAUACCGGAUAACAUAUUGAACCGCAUGGUUCAAUAGUGAAAGGCGGCUUUGCUGUCACUUAUAGAUGGAUCCGCGCCGUAUUAGCUAGUUGGUAAGGUAACGGCUUACCAAGGCAACGAUACGUAGCCGACCUGAGAGGGUGAUCGGCCACACUGGAACUGAGACACGGUCCAGACUCCUACGGGAGGCAGCAGUAGGGAAUCUUCCGCAAUGGGCGAAAGCCUGACGGAGCAACGCCGCGUGAGUGAUGAAGGUCUUCGGAUCGUAAAACUCUGUUAUCAGGGAAGAACAAAUGUGUAAGUAACUGUGCACAUCUUGACGGUACCUGAUCAGAAAGCCACGGCUAACUACGUG